AUAAGGAAGGGUAAGGUGCGAAGACGACAGAUCAAAGCAGACGAUGCUAAGGCACGUCUCAUCUUUGAGUCUGAAGAUAGCUGAUGAAGCUGAUCUGGUGUGGCAGACUGCUGCAAAUUGGACAAAUAUUUCCGUUCAGGUAGAACAGAAAUUGGAGAGAGAAUGAUCACAAAAAGAUUCUGACCCACACAAAGAAUAACCUGAAGUCAAGUAAUGUUCACUAAAAGGAGGCAAUGGACAUUAUAACAAUCUAGUGUUUUAUCAUGUAUUAUUAAUGCAAUUAGAAGAAAUGUUAGUGGUAGUUCUGUUAAAACUAGUUAAUGAUUUGAUUCUGUUAUAAAAUGUUAGUUAGUUUAGUUAAAGCUUUGAGUUCUGGUAUACCUGGUGAUAAUCUUGAUCAUAAUUUAAGUUAUACAGAUGUGUCUGUGUGAAGUAUCAACUACUACUAUGUUCCCUCUUCAAUCUAAGAUUUUUCAAAAUCAGAAAAUAUAAAACGAUGCUGCAUUUUUAUUCCACAAUGCACAGGAGUGAUAUCAGUGCAUCGCAGAUGCUGGUAUUUUAGAAUACAUUGCCUUAUAGAGACACAUUCUGUUCUAGGUACCUACAUGAGUGAAUACCUAUACACAAGUAGGUAUUAGCGAUCAUAUUUGGAUCUGCAUUGUUCACUUCCUCACACUGUCCUGAGGCAUUAUGCAUGUUCAUUCCCUCAAAAUAAGGGAAUGGAUUUCACACCAGUGGGCCACAUGAGUGGCAAGAAUGUGGGGUAAAAUUGCGAUUUGGUGCGUAGCCUCUGAGAAUGUCAGAUGAAGUUUUUUGCACAGUACAUGUAUUGUUCAUAUUUAUUACUUGAAUAAAGUCAAUUUUGAAAUAUA